rnacentral:rRNA from 1 species
UACGUAGGGGGCAAGCGUUGUCCGGAUUUAUUGGGCGUAAAGAGCUCGUAGGCGGUUCGACAAGUCGAAUGUGAAAUCUCCACGCUCAACGUGGAGGGGUCAUUCGAAACUGUCGUGACUUGAGUACGGUAGGGGAGUGUGGAAUUCCUGGUGUAGCGGUGAAAUGCGCAGAGAUCAGGAGGAACACCCGUAGCGAAGGCGGCACUCUGGGCCGAUACUGACGCUGAGGAGCGAAAGCGUGGGGAGCAAACAGGAUUAGAUACCCUGGUAGUCCACGCCGUAAACGUUGGGCACUAGGUGUGGGACUCUAUCGACGGGUUCCGUGCCGUAGCUAACGCAUUAAGUGCCCCGCCUGGGGAGUACGGCCGCAAGGCUAAA